GGACGAACGCUGGCGGCGUGCUUACCACAUGCAAGUCGAACGGAAAGGCCCUGCUUUUGUGGGGUGCUCGAGUGGUGAACGGGUGAGUAACACGUGAGUAACCUGCCCUUGACUUUGGGAUAACUUCAGGAAACUGGGGCUAAUACCGGAUAGGAGCUCCUGCUGCAUGGUGGGGGUUGGAAAGUUUCGGCGGUUGGGGAUGGACUCGCGGCUUAUCAGCUUGUUGGUGGGGUAGUGGCUUACCAAGGCUUUGACGGGUAGCCGGCCUGAGAGGGUGACCGGCCACAUUGGGACUGAGAUACGGCCCAGACUCCUACGGGAGGCAGCAGUGGGGAAUAUUGCACAAUGGGCGGAAGCCUGAUGCAGCAACGCCGCGUGCGGGAUGACGGCCUUCGGGUUGUAAACCGCUUUCGCCUGUGACGAAGCGUGAGUGACGGUAAUGGGUAAAGAAGCACCGGCUAACUACGUG
rnacentral:rRNA from 1 species